UGCUUUACGGUACUAAAAGCAUCGGCUAAGCAUGUAGAUGCUUAUGGUACGCACAGUAGGACGCGGGUUCGAAUCCCGCCGUCUCCA
rnacentral:tRNA from 1 species